UUAAUCUUGUCUUUAUUAAAUUGUAAUAUUUUGUUUAUUGUAGAGUUUGGGAUUAAUUUUGCUUUAAAAAUAUUUCACUGAGAUAUUAUCCUUUUUGAUUACUGAAUUUUUGGGUUCCUUUCAAUUUUGUACUUAGGAUAGAUGCCUCACUUGCUUUAUCUGGGCUGUAGUCCCGCUCCCGGGGACCAAGUAAUGCUGGCAGUCAUACCUGGACAUUCCCUUUCCACAGCGCCUGAGUUCAUUCCUGGAAUUUAUUCAACGAGUGGCCCUGCAGCUGACUCUAUGAGAAAGAAACUGGCCUUGACUCACUAUGGAUCCCAGGCUGCCCUUGAAUUCAUGGCCAUCCUCCUGCCUCAGUCUCCCCAGUGCUCAGACUACAGAUGUGAGCCACCAUGCCUGGCACGGUUUUGGAUUCUAAUGCCAGCCUGUCUUAUUCCACAAGCAGAGCCUGUGAACACUGCCUUGCAUUUUGUCACCAUUUCCCCUUGGGCUUGAUGCUUUUCUGAGGGACACCCUAUAAUAACUCUGUGUACUCGACUCAGCAAACUCAACGUACACAAGUGCUAACUGCCUAAACCCAGGCUCAUCUCAGCUUCUGAAGACCUAACAUGGAUCCUCUUCGAAUCUUCACUAUAGUUCUCCUCCUGGAAAAUAUGUGAUUUUUUUUAAUCUGAGAGAGAAAACGCAAUCAGUUUAAAAUAUGAAA
rnacentral:lncRNA from 1 species